UACGGAGGAUGCGAGCGUUAUCCGGAUUUAUUGGGUUUAAAGGGCUCGUAGGCGGUUCGUCGCGUCCGGUGUGAAAGUCCAUCGCUUAACGGUGGAUCCGCGCCGGGUACGGGCGGGCUUGAGUGCGGUAGGGGAGACUGGAAUUCCCGGUGUAACGGUGGAAUGUGUAGAUAUCGGGAAGAACACCAAUGGCGAAGGCAGGUCUCUGGGCCGUUACUGACGCUGAGGAGCGAAAGCGUGGGGAGCGAACAGG
rnacentral:rRNA from 1 species